ACUGCUGGCACAGAGUUAACCACCAGUUGUAUAAGUGAAAUUCUGCUCAGCUUUGUAUCCUGUGCUGCAUUCACAAUACGUAAGAAGAAUGUGCUGCCCAGCUGUGUGUGAUGUCCUGCAGAUGCUCUAAUGCAAGAUCGAUCCAUCUGCCCAUCAGGAAAGUUCAAAUGGAGCUGGGAGCAGACCUGGAGAACCACUGUCAAGACAAAUGAUGUCAAAGCUUCUUGUGUUCUCAUUGGCUUCUUAGAUGCUUUAUUUCAUUCCAUUGAAUACAGUAAUUCUUUGAAAUUUUUGCUGUAUUUAAUUGCCAGUGACAUAGCUGGUGUUUUAGUUUCUGGGCCUGAAGAACAAUCCCAGUUUUUUACAGAGAAUGGAGUAUUAUGUUUUGCUCGAGCUCCCUGCUCUGUAUGAGGGAAUCUGUUGAAGGGCUGUGGUUUGAAAUAAACUCAUUUGCAGCUU